AGGUAAACUUCAGUCUGUACAAUCCCCCAGUUUACAAUCCACAGGACAGCAGCGACUCAGACACUUCAGUCUUAGACAAGUACAGGAAUCCAGAAGGAAGGACUGGGAUACGGGGAAAAGGGGCUCUGAAAUCCCUCGGCCCGAAUCACAUUCUCCACC